UGAUCCUGCCAGUAGUCAUAUGCUUGUCUCAAAGAUUAAGCCAUGCAUGUCUAAGUGUAAGCUUUUAAAUGGCGAAACUGCGAAUGGCUCAUUAAAACAGUUAUUGUCUACUUGGUGGUUAUCAUAUGGAUAACUGUAGUAAUUCUAGAGCUAAUACAUGCACAAAUGCCCGACUUAUGGAGGGUAGCGUUUAUUAGAUACAAAACCAUCCUGGUUAACGCCAGAUUGUGGUGAGUCAUGGUAAAGAAGUAAAUCGAACGGACAUCCGUCGAUGCAUCAUCCGAGUUUCUGACCUAUCAGCUUCCGACGGUAGGGUAUUGGCCUACCGUGGCGUUGACGGGUAACGGAGAAUUAGGGUUCGAUUCCGGAGAGGGAGCCUGAGCGACGGCUACCACAUCUAAGGAAGGCAGCAGGCGCGCAAAUUACCCAAUCCUGACUCAGGGAGGUAGUGACAAGAAAUGACAACGUAGGGCUCUCAACGUCUUGCGAUUGUAAUGGGUCUAAUCUAAAACCCUUAAUGAGGAACAACUGGAGGGCAAGU
rnacentral:rRNA from 1 species